AGAGCUGGGGUUUUCUGUACUCUAGGGGGGGGAAAGCGUAAGGGCUGGGUCAGAGGGUGCCCUGGGCCCCCCUUAUUUGUUCUUUUCGGCUGCUGGCAUAUCUUACUGUUCCUGUUAUAUGAAUGUGGGAGUGAUCGUGGCCUGCCCCCACCUCCCUGCGUUUCCAUUGGAAUUUCAAGCCAGAUGUGACUGCAGCUGAUUUCCAGUCUGAGUAGGUGGUAUCACAUGUUCGCUGUUCACUUUUGGACUAUUAUUUAAAAACACAACUUGGAUGGUUAUACUUGGACAGGGUGCUUCUGCUUCCCACGGGUUGUAUUAGCUUUUCAUCUUUUCAUGCAUCUGGAAGGAAACAGGUGGAUGCAAUGUCUGCUAGGUGUGGCUCCCCCUACAAGUGGGUGCUGUGCCGCAGGGAAGCCGAUAAGCAAACCGCCUGGGAAGUACGUCCGCAAGGAUGAAACUUAAAGGAAUGNGGGGGGGG
rnacentral:rRNA from 1 species